rnacentral:rRNA from 1 species
CGGGAAUUUUGGGCAAUGGGCGCAAGCCUGACCCAGCAACGCCGCGUGAAGGAUGAAGUCCUUCGGGAUGUAAACUUCGAAAGAAUGGGAAGAAUCAAUGACGGUACCAUUUUUAAGCCCCGGCUAACUCCGUGCCAGCAGCCGCGGUAAUACGGAGGGGGCAAGCGUUGUUCGGAUUUACUGGGCGUAAAGGGCGCGUAGGCGGUUUGGUAAGUUACUUGUGAAAUCUCUGGGCUUAACCCAGAACGGCCAAGUAAUACUGCCGAACUAGAGUGUAGAAGGGGCAACUGGAAUUCUUGGUGUAGCGGUGAAAUGCGUAGAUAUCAAGAGGAACACCUGAGGCGAAGGCGGGUUGCUGGGCUGACACUGACGCUGAGGCGCGAAAGCUAGGGGAGCAAA